AGAGAAGGAGAGAGAGGAAUUUUAGUCCAAAGAUCGAGCGAGCAGAGAUAAAAAAAAAAUAACAGGGGAAUUGGACAAAACAAAGAACAAAGGGGAACGACAAAAAUAGGGAGGAGAUUAGAAAACCAUUGAAACCUUCACCUUCUUCCUCAAUUCAAUCACUUAAUUCAUCCAUGGAUCUUACUGUUAAGAAGUUUAUUUUUCCGCCAUAGCAGAUCUAUCUACACCCCCAGUAGACUACCGGCUCUUAGCCUUCACUAUCGUGAAAUCCCAGUUGCAAUCUCGGUAAAACCCAGACACCAACAGUUUAUUUUCCAACUCUCAUCAUUAUCGAGUUUCGAGUUUUCCGGCGAGGUAUGUAAACAAAAGGAAUUCGUGUCAGUGAGGUUUCUGGUUCGAGGACCGUCCGGCAUCUGUAAUUCAGGUUCCAAUCGUUUGAGGUCUAUUUCUCUCUUAUUUUGCUGAUUUGCUUAAUAUCGUGCUUUCCUUUGUUUCGCUAAUUGUUGCUUCUCUGUCUUGUUGAUCGUUUGAGUUGUUGUUCUAUUGUUAUGUUUGGAGUGUCUCAGUAAUACUUGCUUACUCUGUUUCGUUCUAUUGGUCAUCAUUUUUGGUGUGGUUUUGUUUAAUCUGUUCGGGUGGAUUUUGAUGCAUAAAAGGAGUUUCUGAUUCUUUGUUUUGUUGUUUCAGUUAGAGAUAAAAUGUUUAAGUCCUCCUAGUUACUACUCUAACAAUAAUACUAUGAUUAAAUUAACAUAAUUAAGUAGAUUGGAUGGAAUUUUGAUUGUUUCAGUUGUGGGAAUUAGAUUUUAAAAUAAGGAGGAAAUUGGGGUUAAAUAAUUUUAUUGCUCUUUUAUUCUUACUCUCAUGAAUUUGAUCGAUAGUAGCAUGCUUAGGCCGUUAACACCUGGGUAGGCAAACUUUAGGAUUUUUAUUAGUUUGAGGUGAGAGGUCGUUCCUUUAGUUAAAUUCAUCCGGAGAAUGUCCCGAAGGAUUUGUAUAUAUUUUAUUCUGGGGAAUACGCCGUAGUAUUCUGUAAUUGGAGGCUAAGAGUAGAAGUUGUAGUGUUUUAUUCUUAUUUUAUUUUUCUUUAUUAGGAGGGGACGACCUCGAGCCUCUUAUGUGUUAAUUUUCCCAUUUCUGUGUUUAUUACCUCAAUUCGAACAUUUUAAAAGCCAACUUGAUCAUGUACGCAACCGUACUAGUUACGGGACUCGGGGAAUGUCUAACACCUUCUCCCUGAAGCAAAUGAACCCCCUUACCAGAAUCUCUGGUGCAAACUUAGUUUUGGAGUCUCAAGUGUUUUGAAAGGGAAAAAAUUAUUUUUAGAAAAACAGUGACCUGACAUACCGAGAUCAAAUAUCAGGUGGCGACUCUGAGUUAAUCCUUUUGAACACAAAUUCUUUGUCACUUUCAAAAAUUGAAAACCCUUUGAACUUUACAAAUUCCUUUUAUUAUUUUAAGAGGGGUUACUGAAGGUUGAAAAAAAAGGGUGUGACAGACCCCCCUUCUCCAUUAGUUCAAAUUCCUUUAGUUUUUCCUCCUCCUUCAAGUCAUUUCAUCCAUGACACUUCUCCUCAACACUCACUUACACCACUAUCUACACCCACAUCUCACACCAAUCCUAGUUGUCUUCCUACACACCUUAAUUCACCCGUUGUUUCACCUGCUCCUCCACCUGCUUCCCUUAAUUCCCCUACUCCUUCUCCUGUUUCUUCCUCUCCAUCUAUUCCCCUCAGGAGAUCAAACAUAAUAUAGGCACCCUGCCUUGUUAUCUUAAGGACUAUGUUUGCAAUAACAUCUAUUUCACUGAUCUUACCACUUCCUUUUUUUUCUACUCCUUGUUCACCACCUCCAUUCUCUUUUUCUGCCCUCGCCACCUCUAAUCAACAUCUUAGUCAUUCUCUCUCUACCAUUUCAGAACCAACCACUUACAAUCAGGCCCAUUCCAAUCCAGGUUGGGUCCAAGCCAUGGAUUCUAAACUUCAAGCUUUGGAAGAGAAUCACACAUAGGAUGUGGUUCUCUUACCUUCUGGCAAGAAAGCUCUUCCUUGUAAAUAGGUCUACAAGUUCAAGCACCAUGCUAAUGGCACUAUUGAAAGGCUAAAUGCCAUGUUAGUUAUCAGGGGUGAUGUGCAGAGAGAAGGCAAUGACUACACAGAAACCUUCUCUCCAGUUGUCAAAAUGACUACUAUCAGGUGUUUAUUUUCUAUUGCAGUCAAGAAAGGGUGGCCCAUUUCUCAAUUUGAUGUAAGUAAUGCCUUUUUACAUGGGGAGUUACAGGAAGAGGUUUACAUGAAAUUUCCUGCUGGGUUGUCUUCCCAGGCCUAACUAUGUUUGUCGACUUAAAAGGUCUCUUUAUGGCUUGAAGCAAGCUUCAAGACAAUGGUAUGCAAGACUUGUUGGAGCCCUCGGUUUUAAAGGAUUCUCUUCAUCCCUAAACGAUUACUCCCUAUUCUUUAAACACACAGGGGAUCUCAUUUCCAUUCUUACUGUAUACGUAGAUGAUAUACUAAUUACAGGCAAUAAUUUUAAUGAAUUAUCAGAUCUUAAAGUAUUUCUACAUUCUGAGUUUAAAAUGAAGGACCUUGGGCCUCUUCACUACUUCUUAGGCAUGGAGAUUUUGAGGGAGCAUGAUGGAAUUAUUAUAACUCAAAGGAAAUUUACCACUGACUUGCUUGCUGAAUUUGAUUGCUUCUCUCUCCCACUGGUUUCUUCUCCACUUGAUCUAUCUUCCAAGUUGAUUGCCAAUUCUGGAGCUCUUUUAUCUGAUGCUUCCCUCUAUCGUCAUCUUGUUGGCAAGCUCAAUUAUUUGACUCACAAGUGGCCUGAUCUUUCAUUUGCCAUUUUGACUCUCAGGAAAUAUAUGCAACACCCUUGCAUUGGGCAUUUCACAGCAGCUUAUGCGUCCUUCGUUAUUUUCGCUCUAAUCCAAGCCAAGGUUUGUUCCUCAAUGCUCGACCCUCUUUUGAUUUAUUGGCUUUUUGUGAUGUUGAUUGGGCUUCUUACCGUGAUAGUCGUCGCUCAGUCAGUGAGUUUUUCAUCAGUUUGGGUGGUUCACCGGUGUCUUGGAAAUCUAAGAAGCAAGCUUCUAUGUCUCUAUCUUCCGUUGAAGCAGAGUAUCGUUCAAUGCGUCGCCUAGUGGCUGAGCUUACUUGGUUAACUCGUCUUCUCACAGAUCUAUCUGCUCCUCAUCCGAUUCCAGUUCUAAUUUUCUCUAACAGCCAAACGGCCAUACAUAUUGCCCGGAAUCCCGUCUUUCAUGAGAGAACCAAACACGUUGAACUCGAUUGCCAUUUUGUAAGGCAACAGUUCCUUUCCGGCCUCAUCUCCCUCUCUUUUAUACCCUCAAAACAUCAACUUGCUGAUUUAUUCACCAAACCCUUGUCAGGGCCUUCUCACAGAUCGAUCCUUGGCAAGUUGGGGGUAUCUUUCUAUCCCCUCCAACUUGAGGGGGGAUGUUGGAAUACAUCGAUCUCACUCUUUGAUUUCUCAGAAAGAUCUGAUUUCUCAGCAAGAAAUUCAUACAGAAGAAGAGAAGAAAAGAAUCGAUGAAGAAGAAGAAGGAAAGAAAGGACCAACAGUUUUGGACAAAACAAUUUCGGAUAAAACAAAGCUAAGUCCAUUCUCUGAUAAGCCAUGUGACAAGCCACGCGGCAUCAUCUCAGCCAACAAAUCAAAUGAUGAAGUUUUUAAUCUGGAUCGUCCACUUCUCACAUGCACACAAAGGGCUCACAUGCUAAAGGAAUAUUAAAUAGUUACAUUGUUAAAAUUAUCUAGUAAAAAUAGGACAAGUGUACAUAAUUCAUAGGGUAGUUUUAUUUUCAGAUUCUUUUCUAGGUAGCUAAUAUCUGUAUAAAUACAUAGUCCUCUUGUACAGUGAUUUUCAUUCAGAAAUACACAGAAAUUUUCACAAUCAUCUUUCUCAAUUUUCUACACCUAAAGAGGAGUUUAUUAAAUUGGUAUUUAAUGAGAACGUUUUACAUGUAACUCUGGGUUUAGAUUAACCAAACUUAAAAGAACAUUUUUAUUUUUAUCUUUUAUAUUUAACUAUGCAAUACUUCAAGGUCACUGAUCCAAUUUUUAACUAAAAAGUUCUCCGUUAUUGGAACACAAGAUUUCAGAUUAAGUAGAAAGAUAUCCUAAUCAUUCCGUCUUCGAUAAUUAGAAUACUUUGUUUCUUAUUGUCUUCUUGUAUGUAUGAGUUAGAACUUAGAGAUGCUUGAAUAGAAAUAAAGAUAUGCUAUUCCACUACAUUGUUUGGGACUACUUUGGGUGAUAGGAUUUCUUUAUUCCUAUCUAUCUUCUUGUUAUCGAUUGGUUGAAAAGGCAAUAAGACUCGCACAAAAUGGUGAUUGGUGGAGUUGUUUGACAAAAAGUUUUAAACCCUUUUAGUUAAAUUAAUUUAAUAAAUAGACAAGGGGCGAAUCCAAGUUAAAAAUAAUAAAUUUCAGAUCCUAAAUUAAAACUAGGAUGAUAUGAGACCGUGCUCAAGUUAACAAUGCCGAGUUAAUACUCAAUGACUAUUAAUAAAUAUGAGAAUAAAAACAUGCAAUAAAUGUGAUAAAUGACAUUAAAUGUAAUAAGAAGGAAUUUGUCACCCAAAUGUUAGAUGAGAUAGAUGAUUCCUUCCUCUGACUACAACGUGUGACAACAAACAAUGGAAGUAAACUACGUGUUCUUGGAUCUUGCGAACUAUAGAGGAAUGUUAUAUAAUGGAAUCAAACAAAGGAGACAAAACCAACUCUUUGUAUAUUCUUGAUAGUUAACUCUUUAUAGGAUGAUCUUUCAUAAAAGUUCCGAAUCCCCUUUUGUUUCUCCUCUUCCUAUUUAUAAGGAAUAUCCCUAGAAAACUCUAAAAAAUACAAUAUGGGGGAAUAUUCAAUAAAAUAUUCCUAUUCAUAAUCCUAGGAAUAUUCUAACAGUUGCAGCCGUUUGCUCUCUACUCGACCUCGGCACUGGUCUCUCCCUUUGAGCGACUCCUCGCUACUGGACCAUGCUUGAUUUCGACCAAUCCGAGAUGUAAAUUAUCCCAAUUGGUUAGCCAACAUAGUAGUUGUUCGUAAAAAGAAUAAUAAAUUUGAAAUGUGUGUACAUUAUAAAGAUAUGAAUAAGGCAUGCCCUCAAGACUCUUUUCAGUUGCCGAACAUUUAUCAAAUGAUUGAUGCUACGACCGGGAAUGGGUUAAUGAGCUUUCUUGAUGCGUAUUCCGAGUAUAAUAAAAUUAAGAUGCACCCAGAGGAUCAAGAAAAAACUUCUUUCAUCAUAAAUUUUGGCACUUAUUACUAUAAUGUGAUACAUUUCGGGCUUAAGAAUGCCAGAGCCACUUAUCAAAAGCUCGUUAAUAAAAUGUUUGACUAGCAAAUUGGUAAAACUAUGGAAGUUUAUGUUGAUGAUAUGCUGGUUAAGUCUCUUAAUGUAGGAUAUCAUUUGGCUCAUCUACAAGAGACAUUUGAUAUUCUAAAGAAACACAAUAAGAAGCUCAAUCCAGAAAAAUAUGCUUUUGGAGUUGGUUAUGGAAAGUUUCUUGGCUUCUUGGUUUCACAACGAGGAAUUGAAGUGAUUUCCAACAAGAUUAAGGUCAUAGAAGAUAUCCCUGAUCAAUUGACAAGUGCAAAAAGAAGUUAAGAAGUUGACUGCUUGGUUGGCAGCACUUAGUAGAUUCAUUUUGAGGUCUUCGGAGAAGUGUCAUCAUUUCUUCUCACUCUUGGCACUUCUCCGAAGACCGCAAUAUGAAUCUACUAAGUGCUGCCAACUGACCAGUCAACCUCUGAACUUUCUUUAUAUUUGUAACUUGAUCAGGGAUAUCUUCUAUGGCCUUAAUCUUAUCGGUAUUCACUUCAAUAACUUGUUGUGAAACCAAGAAGCCAAUAAACUUCUCGAAACCAACUCCAAAAGUUCUGGAUUGAACUUCAUGUUGUAUUUCCUUAGAAUAUCAAAUGUCUCUUAUAGAUGAUCCAAAUGAUCUCCUGCAUUAAGAGAUUUAACCAGCAUAUCAUUAAUAUAACCUUCCAAUGUUAUACCAAUUUAUUGUUUAACAUUUUUCGUAGACUCCGAAAUACCAGCAAGCAUUGAAAAACCUAAAAAGUACAUGUCUAGCCCUCCGAUGUUGUCAAAACCGAAGGAAAGUGAGCAAUUGUUAAUUUAUUUAGCAGUUUUAGAGGUUUUAGUGAGUACAGUUUUGAUCCAAGAGGAGGAAGGUACACAAUUUCUUAUUUAUUAUAUUAGCAAAGUUUUAUCGGGAGCGGAGACACGUUAUCCACACUUCGAAAAGUUGUCCCUAGCUCUCGUAGUUGCCUCUCUAAAUCUUAGGCAUUAUUUUCAAUAUUAUCUCGUAGUUUUGUCAUGAAUUUUCCCUUGAGGAGCAUCCUUCAUAAGAUGGAAUUAUCGGAUCGAUUAGCUAAAUGCGCAAUCCAAGUUAGUGAAUUCGAUAUUGAAUAUAAACUCAGGACUACAAUCAAGUCAAAAGUUUUGGCCGACUUUGUGGCUGAUUUUAGUUUCGAUAUGAUUCCUUUAGCUUCUCAGGAAGCAACUUUAAUAUCCAAAACUAUUUUCAAUGUUUGGACUUUGUUUACAGAUGGGACCUCUAAUGUAAAAGGUUUCGCUCUCAGGAUUGUGUUAAUCACUCUUUCGGAAGAAACCCUAAGGCAAACCAUUAACUAUUACUUUGACUAACAAUGAAGUCGAGUAAGAGGAUUUGGUUGUAGGACUUGAAUUAGCUCGGGAGCUAGGCUCCGAUGUGAUUGAAGAACAACACAAUAGGGAUCCAAUAAUUACUAAAGAAAAUCAAGAAACGUGCGGAAGCUAAAAGAAAAUAAAAAAACAAAAAAGACUGAAAUUAAAGAUAGAUUGAAUUCAAGAAAGAGUUUCUUGAAUUCAAGAAGUAUAUUCCUGUAGUUGAAUCCUAACAACAACAAUUAUCUAAAGAAGAACUAAUCGCCUUUGGUAGAGAAUUAAAAACAAGAUAUAGAUUGUGAAACCCGACCCUUAGAAUAACAAAAAUAAUAAUAAGCAUAAACUUAUCACAUUUUUUGAAUAUCUAGAAGUGAUAUAAGAUUUUGAAAAAAGUUUAAUCUUACCACCUUAAAUUGAGUAUUGAAGAUUGAAGAAUAAAUUCAAGAGUAGCCACACACAAGGGUGCAAGAAAAAUCUCACAAUUUUUACUGAUAAUAAUCUAUCAUAAUCUAAAUCUAAAAACAAAAAAUACACUCCUUUAUAUAGAAAGGGGUUCACGGAAUUCUACCUAAAAAACAAGAAAAUAAAGUCCUAAACUACUUUGGACAAUAAGUCCAACUACCUUAGGAAAAGAAAAAAUACUAGGAAACAAAAACCAAGUCAUUCUUGGAAAGUAGUUCUAAUAAUCUUAGGAAAAGGAAAACAUAAGCUUAACUACGUAGUAAAAAAAAUAAAUAUAGUCCCAAAAUAUAUGAAAAUAAGUCAAAACCAAUGCAGGAUAGGAUCUUGAAAGUCCCAACCGAUCUUGGAAAUCUUGAAAGAAAUUUGCAAGCAACUUCAAACCAACUUGCACUCAACUUCUAGCAGCUUAUUGUACCCUUCUUGGACAUCAAGUACGUUCUUUUUAUAUUAUAAAAAUGUGACUUUGUGUAGGACUUCAUGGACUGCAAGUUUAAACAUAUUUAGGUGCCAAAUUGGUUCAACAGUGGACUGAUUAGGACCUUCUUCAAAGGAUGUCUCUUGGGAUCCAAUACUCCUCUUCUUGGACAUAAAUUUGGUCCAUAAAACAAUUGUAACACCUAGCUAAUUCACAUCCUUUAUCCUUGAUUUCUUCCUCCCAAUUAAUAACUUUUUUAUUUGCACUUGAAGUCUAAUGACCUUAUUUUGUAACUCUUUAGCUUGGCAUCUUGUUAAAGGCCCUCUUUGAGAUUCCAAAGCUUCAUCCUUGUUCUUGAAUAGAUUUGAGCUUCGUGGGAUGCUAUCACUUUCACCCCAAAGAGGAGCACAUGUAACAGUACUUGAAUAAGGUACAGGUUCUACUUUCCCGAUUCACGGAGUGGUCGAUUAUUCAUAUCCAAAGGGAAGAGAACAUGAAAACAUAUGCAUUGGCCAAUCUAGGAUCGUUCACAAAAAUGAAGGGACCCAAUUCUAGUGUAUUUGUUCAAAUUUUGCAUUCGGUCCUGAAUGUAGAUGGGUAUUGCAAAGUCAACUCGACACACUUAAUUUGGGAUUGGAGAAAUGAGUUUAUAGAGUAUUUAAGGCAUGAAAAAUUUCCUGAAGAUCCUAAAGAUUCCCGGUCACUACAAACUAAAGCUACUCAUUAUUGCCUUGUUGAUGGUCAAGUGUACUGAAGGUUGUUUUAAGGACCAUUAGCUCGGAGUUUAGGGACAUCAAAGGCUGAUUAUGUGAUGAGAGAAGUUAACGAAUGUGUCUGCAAAAAUCAUUCCAUUGCAGACUCGUUGGUUCUCAAAUUGAUAAGGGUUGGCUACUAUUUGCCUCGAAUGAAACAAGACGCGAAGAUAAUUGUAAUAAAAUGUGAUAAGUGUCAGUGUCAUGCACAGUUGGUGCAUCAACAGGCGGAGCUUUUGUAUUCGAUGGUGUUACGGUAGCUGUUCAUGAAAUGAAGAAUAGACAUAGUUAGUCCCUUACCUCAAGGGCCCGGGCAGGUGAUUUUUUUUAGUUUUAACUUAUUAUUUCACUAAAUGGGCUGAAGGUGGUGCUUACAAAAUGAUUGGACAGCGAGAAGUGAUUGAUUUCAUAUGGAAUCAUAUCAUCUGUCGGUUUGGAUUACCGAAAGAGAUUGCUUGUGACAAUGUGCCAUAAUUUAUAGGUUCCAAGGUCACAAAGUUUUGGAGGGAUUGAAGAUCAAAAGGAUUAGGUAUUCUCCAUAUCAGCUAAGUGCCAACGUAUAAUCAAAGUCAACCAACAAAUUUGUAAUUCAAAUCCUCAAAAAGAAAUUAAAGGAUGUGAAAGGUAAUUGACCAGAAGAGCUACCGGGAGUAUUAUGGGCAUAUCGAACAAUGGUGAAGUCAAGAAGGAUAAAUUCUAUUUUCACAUGUGUAUGGUGCGAAAGCUUUGAUCCCGGUGGAUAUCGGGGAGCCGACCAUAAGUUAUUCCUGGGAAAACUAUGAGGCAAAUAAUGAAGCAAUACAAAUUAAGCUGAAUUUGCUUGAAGAACAUCAAAAUCCAACAUAUAUGAGAAUGGUGGCACAAAAGCAAAUGAUGAAAAGAUAUUACAACCGCAAAGUAAAUAUUUGAUAUUUCAAAGUCGGAGAUUAAGUUUUUAAGAAAGUAACUCAAAAUACUCUGGAGGUAACAAGAGCGGCUUCAUGAUCCCUCUUCCGGUUAAGGAGGUCUUGCAAUUGUUGCUGGGCUUCCGCUGGGUCAUGAGAAACCUCAACAAUAGGGCAAACGGAAGACCCUUUCGGAAGGCAUAUGUAUUACGAAAUGGGAGUCAGUAAAUUAGUUCUAAAUCAUGAUGAAGAUUUUAGGGAAAAGAGAAAUUUUACUUACCAUGAUUUUGGAUUUUUAAUUAAAUCUGGGGGCAAUUUCUUUCCACCUACGGGAAUCCGAUGUGAAAACAUUCUAAAACUUUCAGUACUCAUUGAGCCAGGUUCUUAACCGAUGGUGGUUCCCAACGGGUAACUGAAAUAAGGAAAAUAAAGUUAGCAAAUAAGAAUUCUCUUUAACACAAUAAGAAAAGAUAUUUGAAAACUUGUGAGUAAAGUUCCAAGAUUUAGGGAUGGAAGGAGUUGUUGGCAGAAGGAUGUCCCUGGUAGCAAUGACAAUGAACCAUUCCAUCCAACUAAGGUCAUUAUCGUCAUCAACGCUGGUAAUGAUGGUAUGGUGGCUGUGUUUGCUGAGUUUGAUCACGCCUCCACGAAAUAUCUUUAGGGAGUAGAGGUUGAUCAACUGGGAAAGUGUGAGGGUUCCUCCGACCUGGGAGCACAGUGUCCAAAGGUAAGCCACCGUACACCAUAUUGAUGGGCUUAUUUGAGCCAAGAAAAUUUGGUAGCGAUGGCAAAAUUCUAAAAUAAUGGAGUCAAGUUCUUGACCCAAUUUUAGGGUAAAAGGGUAUGUAUAAAUAUACAUGAACCCUAGUUUUCUAAAUGUGAUCCUUACCACUUUAUUGGAGACAAAUAUUUCGAUGUUAUUCUAGUUGCAAUCUUCCUUUACAAUAGAAAUACUAAUUGGACGAAUAAAAGAAUAGUAUCUGCAGACUGACCAGUUUCUGUCAUUCUUGGGGUUGAUAGUUUCUUUAUGUACUUGAAAAUCCAACUCAGAGUGAAGUUGGAAAGAUAUGACUGUGUUGACGGUAGGUGGUUCGGCUUCAGCAUCAACUUUCUUAGUUUUGUUAGAAGAGCCACCACCAAUGAGAAAGAUAUAGUUUUUGAGGAUAGAGGUAGUAGAAGACAUGGUGAUAAGAAAUCCGAAUAAGAAAAUUUUACUAAGAAAGAGGGGUUAUUGCAGUUGGGUUCUUAGGAAAUUCGAACAAGAGGAGUUUGUAAAAGUGAAAGGUAAAAAUAAUGCGUGGUGGAGAAGUUUAUAGGAGGCAAAAUUCAUGGUCAUGAUUACCUUGAAAAUUGGAGAAAAUAUUUACCAAAUCACGGGAUAAGACGUGUUUAUCUCAUUAAAUGCAAGGAGAUGUGCGUGCUUUCAUGUGUUAGAAACUGUUUAGGAACUUCUUCGCUAAGAAAAGAGAUCUUAUCUACAUUCCGGUAAUACACAGUUUUAUCAUCGGAAAGUAGGGAGACUAUCAGUAUGGGGUAAAAUUGGUAAAUGACAGGUGAAUGCUUGACGAGUUGACACGUGAAAGCAAAGACAAGUAAGGCAUAAGUCAACAAAUAGCUGGCACCAGUUACAAGCAUGUAGCUAUUGCUGGGUAAGUUCUGAGGAUAGUAAAACCGAGGACAAAGAUUUGAAUGGAGUAUAUCGGUUGAAAAUACGACAUUCAAGAGCAUACGUUGCAAAAAAUAUUUUCUAUUAAUACCCAUCCGUUAUUCAACCAUCAAGAUGGGUUUAUUCGUAUAAAAGAAGGGCUUAAUUUAUUGAUCUUGUUUCCCUGAAUUUAGGUAUAAAUAGGAGGAUUCAUAUUCAUUGUAGGACAGAAAAAUAUUUUGUGCACAAAAAGCUAAAUCUGCUAUUAAUAUUUUUUUCUACUUUCUCUCUUUUUGUUCUUCAUAUUACCACAGGAUAAGCUAAAUCAUAGUCAGACUUGUACUUUCUUCAAAUUUAUUUAAUUUUUUUAUCUUUGCUCUUAGCUAUUUUAUAUUCAUGGAUCAAAAUAAUGCACGUGUUUAUAAAUCACUUUACAAAUUUAACUGUACCGUUUUAUGGGUAAACAAUACAUACUAUCUCAACCUUUAGAAUGUUUAUUCAGUGUUUGUUCCUUUUAGCUUCCAACAAUUCCUACAUAUUCAUGUAUGUCAACAUUUUCUCUUUAUUUCUUUAACUUUAUAAAGGUGACAAGAAAAUCAAUUAAGUAAUUCAUGGUUUAAUUCAAUACGAAUAAUUAAUAAUAGUAGAUAAAUGAAUUAAAUAUUAAAUAAACGAUAAAAUCAAUCGUAGUAUUAUGAACAAGCCUGAUCUUAGAUUGAACUGGGACCUCGUCCUCGAUUGGACCCUCGGUUCGGGUCCAGUAGUGAAUGAAUAACAGAACAAGUUAGCAAAUUUCUGAACACUAGCUAGAAGGUAAAAAUAAAUUUUUGUUGCCUUGAAUUGCAUGUUACAAUGUGUCAGAAGAAAAGAAAAGCCUCCCCUUUAUAUGGUAGGAGAGUUUCAAUCUUAGUAGAAGUCUUAAAAGGUAAAAAUUUUCUUUUUCUAGUAAUUAUUGAUCCACAAUCUACAUUGAGUGAUAUUUGCACUAUGAUAUCAGUUUGAGUGUGAGUAUCACGGCCCUGUAUCCUUCAUAAACAAUUGUUCAUCAUGUUUUCUGAGGUUUAUAACUUACACUUGGCCGGGGGCGUAUUGUUUUACCACAUCCAAUGACGGAUACAUCGUUCACUCUUCCUAGGUCUCUAUACAAAGGGUCGCUGACCUCGAUUACAAUUUUGCAGAUCCGUGCUCUCACUCCGUUUUCUCAUAGGGGAAUCGGGCUAGACAUGGCCCCCGAUUUUACCCGUAUACAGAUAGUCCCUUCGUUUUCCUGAGAGUAGGUUUACCGAAAUGACAGGAAGCGAUAAAUGGACACUACUUCCUUCCUUCAUACAUUACAAUCAAAAUGACGGGUCAACGUAACGUCCCAUGAGUCGCGUCAUUCUAACUUCGGACACGUGUCAGUCGCUGGUUGACUAUCCUCGAAUAUGAAACGUCAUGCAUUGAUUGUUCUUCCUUAUAAAACCUUUGACCCUUUUUCCUUUCUUCUACUUUUCGAUUCUGAAACUUACCCUCGAAUUAUCUACUUGCAUUUAAUUCCUUCAAAUCUUCAUACAUUCUCCUUGGAUCUUCAGCCCAAACCUUCAUACUUUCAUCCCAUCUUCAAAUCUUCAGAUUUUGUCUUCAAACCUUCGUAUCUUUUCAUCAGACCUUCAUAUUUUUUCCUCAAACCUUCGUAUUUCCCAGAUCCCAAUGGAUAAAACUUCCAAAUCUGUGCAUCGGCAAACUGCUCCUUCAUCUUCCAACCCGGCCACAGACGUCAGGAUGGCAAUUCCCGAGGUGGCUUAGGAGCCCCCCUUGAAGAGCUUUGUACCCGAGGGUUGCUCUAUCGGGAACGAUUUUCACGUCGAGAAGGCUUCUAGUCAGCAGGACCGAGGCGAAGCAGCAUGGAGGUACAUAUGCUCCAUUAAUAAGGAAACACUACCCACAAUCUGGGUGGACUAUAACUGGAAGGGCAAGGAGGUGGUCGUCCCCGAGCCCAACGAUGGAAUUACUACUCACAUGGAGGGGUAAUUAAGUAUUUACACUUACCUCUUCACGCUCGCCCAUGUGGACCCCAUAGUCCUCGACUUCUGUAAAAGGUACGAGGUCUUCCUUGGGCAGAUUCACCCAUCCUUUUGGAGGAUCGUAAUCCUUCUCCGACACUUUAUGAACAACUCCGAAGCUCCUUGGUUCACCCCCAACCAUCUUCUUUAUCUAUACAGUCCCCAAAUCUUUUGAGGGGGGUUGAUUAAGCUCGUUCGCUGAGAAACCAAAGCUCCGUUCUCGAGCAUCGACGAGGACCGAGAUCGAGGCUAGCAUGAGAGGUUCAUUCGGGUGAAAACCGAAGACCACAUCCCCUACGAAUUUAUACCGUUCUCAGAGAAGUGGAAUGCCUCCUAUAAGUCUUUUAAUUAUCGAGCAUUUGGCAUUUCCUUUUAUUCCUUUUCUAUUUUCCGGUAUUUGUGUAGCGAUUGCCCAAGUUCCUGAUGUAGUCCCUCACUUCAAGGAGUAGAUUGAGGGGAUAUGCAAAUAGAUGCCAUACUCCGAGCGCGCAUGGCGCAAGCUCUCAAAGGGAAAGUGGGAGGCUCGUUCCCAUGGUGAGCCUCCUCCCGAAUGAUUACCUUCAUACUCUUGGUUUACAGAUCACUAAGUCUUCUUCCUUCUUACAGGUUUGCCCAAAACUACCGAACUCAGGCUGUUGGAUGAGGACGAGGGUCCGUCCUCACUUGCCAAACCCUCCUCUUUGGAACAUCUCGGGGUUGCCGCAAAGGAGGAGAAAUAUAAGUAGAAAAGGAAGUCCCCAGGCUCCCCGAAUGCUGAGGCAAAGAAGAAGAAGGUAACCAUCCGGGUCUGGAAAAUUAAAAAGAGCACCAAGUCCAAGGUACCGAACUCUGAUUCCCUCUACUGGCUCAGGGAUUAUCCCGAGGACGACAACCUUGAGUUUAUUGCUCAUGGGUCGACCCUUAAUGAGGGGGAGUAGGCGGCAAUCGGGAAAGAUGACCAUGAGUUUGAUACUCCUCUAGCUCGAGAAUUAGAGGGAGAGACGGAGGCUGCGACCUCUCGGGAACCCGCUCCUAUCCCGAAGGAGGUAACUGGUGUCAUUGACAUCAUUGAGAAACCAUUCUAUAUCGAGUCUAUGCUCGAAGAGGCUCAAGCGGGUAAGGAGAAAUCAAACGAGACAGAGCCAGGUCCAUGUGCCCUCAACACGUUCUUCGACAUCAUGGACAUGGCCGAGUUGAGGACGUUUUCGGGCUUGGUCACCUGGUGGUGCCAAAGAAGAUGUUCCAUUAGAGGCGGGGCGAGCUGAGCUCGAGCCCAAAACUAUUGAAGUAGUUCCCUGCGCCGAGUAUCGACCCCGGCCAUAAGAGAAUAGUCAUUCUUACUAUCCCAAUGGAACCCCCGGCCUUGUCUACUCCGGUGUGCGUAGCCAGCUACCUUUGUUGUCUGGUGACCGAUGAGGACCAGAUAAAUAUGAUCGAUGUAGGCACAUCGAGCCUCUUUAACGAGGUGCAACAAGUACUGAACCAGGUAAGGCGUCUACCAUUCGUACCCCUUUAGGAAUCUUGCUUAGUUUUAGACAUGUUCUAAUGACUUUAUAUUUUUUAGGCUUCAGUACUUUAUCAUUAAAGCUUCACUUCGGUCCCUCAUGGAGAUCAACCAGCUCAAGUUCGAGCUCAAAGAGCAAAUCCAGUGAAGGAUAUGUAUAUGGCUCUUAUUGAACAACAAGAUGAAGCCCUCAAGGACCUCCCAAUUCUCUGAGCCGAACUGGAAAAAGGCCCAGAAGGAGGCCUCGACCUUGAAGCGGGAGCACGCCAACCUGGUCGAGAAGGUAAGAUCUUUGAGGCUAAGAAUGAGAAACUACUCGUGGUGACUAACAACUCAACUUCGCAGGUCCAAGAGAAGAUAAACCUGAUCGACCAGCUUCGGGAUGAGAUGGAUGAGGUUAAGGCCACGACCAAGGCGUGAAAUGGGCAGGAUGGACCUAUUGGCUUUGGAAAAUGAGGCUGCAAAAGCAGAGCUGGCAUCGGCCAAGGACCAAAUCUAGGUGGCAAGGGAUAAGGCUGACAAGUGGUCUCGACUAAAUGAUGAACUCCGGGCACAGUUGAACUCGGCCGUCACUAAACGUGAUGCCUUCGACCAAGAAUAUGCGAUGCUAAGGUAAAAAUUAGAGGAAACUUCUGUUGAUUCCUCUAACAUCGAGGAAAUGCAGGCCCAGUAUAAGGCUAAUGUGGAGAUAGAUGAGGCCCGCCUAAAGAUGAAGACCAAGUACGUAAAGAGGCUAUCUUUAAGAAAGAUCCUCGGGGAGAUCCAUGCCCUAGGUAUUGACCUAUCAGCCAAGAUCGAGAAGCCAAGAAACUUGAGGCCGAGGCAAAGGAACAUUACAAGCCUGAGGGUCCCGAAGGUUUCAAGGGUUCUGAGGGUUCCUAUGAUUCUGGUGACGAGUCGAGCCCCGGUGACGACCAGGCGUAAAUGCCUUAGUUCUUUUUUAGUUUUUUCCUUGUAUAUUUUUCUUUUUUGUUUAUUUUAAGGCCUCUUUAUGGUGCCUUUGUAAAUAAUUUUUUUGAAUAUAUAAAAUUUUCCCCUUUCGGAAAUACCGUGUCUUUACUUUUCAGCAUCUAUUUGCAAUUUCUAUUUGUGUACUAUUUUUAAUGCCUUAGCAUAAGAUUAAAUGUAGUCUAGAGCAUCCGUUUUUCGGAGGCAUAAAUAGGGCCCAAUUUCAAUGGCAACUCUGUAUUACUUGUGGCUUCGCGUCUUCGAUAAAACCGAUUUCCUUUAAGAUGCUUAAGUGUCUUAGAAGAUGUUUUUGUUGAGGUUAAACUUUUAAUAUGUUUCCAUUUUUGUAAGGGUCUUACUUUCUGAGCACGGACUUCGAAUUUCUCCAAGCCAUUUUUAGGGUGGUCGUAGCCUUUUGUAUUUAGGCAGUACCUAAUAGGCUUGGUGCCUCCGGGAUUCGGUAGCUCGAGUCGUCCGAAAUUUUAUCGGUAGACAAUCCCCGAGUAGGGGUAGCUCGUGGGCUUUAUGAUCCAGGAUCAGAGAAGUGAAUUGUCCAGUAAUAAAUAUAAGGGAAGCAAAGAUUUAUUUUAUUAUUUAAUAUGUAAGUUACAUGGAAGCGGGCAUAAGCCUUGUGCCGUGGCUAGAGUGGACUAUAUGGGCACGGUUUGUAUGACCGUUUGACCCUUACAAUGAAUCCUAACCAUCAAGCCUUAUUUUUGGCACAAAAACUUUUCUUUUCCUUUGCUAAAGAUCUUGAUCUAGGGGUAACGACCCUCAAUAGUCAAGGUCGAACUUGUGAGGGCUCGAAUAGUGUUGACUUGGUGCAAACGAUCAGUAAUUUCGGUUCAAAGCCGGUCUUCAAAACUAAGGUAACACAUUUUACUAUUGCCUCGUUAAAAACCUUGCCGUAAAAUCCGCUUCGGGACAAAAUCGAUUCAAGGAAAAAAGAAUGCAAUACGUGCUUUCAGACUUAAUAGCCACAUAAGCCCCUAGCUUAGUACCUGCAUGCGCUAGUCCAUAAUGUAACAAAAUUAAAAGGAAUUAAGUUUGUAGCUUAGCAGUAGUAUCGCUUUAAGUGUGCCACAUUCCAAUCGUUUGGUAGUUGAACGACAUUUCCCGCUUUGAGUUUGUAUGAGCCUUUGCCGGUUAUUUCGACAACUAGAUAUGGUCCUUCCUAAUUCGGGCCCAGUUUCCCUUCGUUUGGGUUCCUAGUGUGUAGUGUUACCUUUCUCAAUACCAAGUCCCCGACUUGAAAGUAUCAGAGGUUGGAUCUUCGGUUGUAGUACCUUCUAGUUGUUACUUCUGGGCGGCUUCCCGGCUUUCGUCCAACAAUUCCAUGCUCGUUGUCAUGGCCUCUCCAUUUGACUCUUUGGUAGCAUACUGGAACCUGAGGCUCAGUUCCCCUACCUCGACUGGUAUUAAGGCUUCCGCUCCAUAGACCAGAGAAAAUGGGGUCGUCCCGGUACUUGACUUCGAAGUUGUACGGUAUGCCCAUAGGACUUCGGGCAAGAGUUCCUUCUACUUUCCUUUAGAACCGGUUAACCUCUUUUUUAGGUUUUGGAGUAUAGUGUUGUUUGUCGAUUCUACUUGCCCGUUUCCACUAUGGUGGUAAGGCGUUGAUAAUAUCUUCUUUAUCUUGUGGUCUUCGAAAAUCUUACUUACCUUUCUGCCGACGAAUUAUUUUUUGUUAUCGCAAACGAUCUCAGCUAUUAUAUCCAAUCAACAUAUUAUGUUAUCCCAGACGAAGUCAUUGACUUCUUUCUCUCAGACCUUCUCGAACGCCUAAGCCUCGACCCAUUUGGAAAAAUAAUCGGUCAUGAAUAGUAUGAAUUGAACCUAACCGGGUGCCCAUAGCAGGGGAUCGAUGAUGUCCAUUCCCCACUUCAUAAACUGCAAUGGCAACAGGAGUGAGUAGAGCACCUCUCCCAGUUGAUGAAUCAUCGGGGCAUGUCUUUGGCACUCAUCGCAUUUUCACACGAAGUCUUUCGCGUCCUUCUCCAUCUCGUUCCAGUAGUAACCGACUCUGAUUAGCUUCCAAACCAAAGAUUUUGCCACUGGAUGGUUUCUGCAAGUGCCUUCGUGAAAUUCUCUCAUGGCAUACUCGAUCUUUCCCGGCCCAAAAAACAUGGCCAGUGGGCUGAAGAAGGAUCUCCUGAAUGAUGCCCCUUUGACUAGGAAAAAUCUAGCAACCUUGGUGUGCAGGGCUCUCAAUUCUUUGGGAUCCGAAGGCAAUUUUCCCUGCCUUCAGGUAGUCUACGUAUUAGUUUCUCCAAUACCAAGUCAAUCUUAUAGAGUUUACUUCAGCGUGACCUUUAUCUACCACCGAGUUCAUCAGUUGUACUACUGCCCCCAAUCUGAAUUCACCGGAGUCAACAACCGACCCCAAGUUGGCCAGUGCAUCGGCCUCGCUGUUUUGAUCUCGGGGUAUGUAUUACAAAGUCCAUUCCAUGAAUUGGUGCAGGGUCACCUGCAAUUUAUCCAAGUACCUUCAUAUUCGUUCUUCUUUUACUUCGAACGUUCUGUUUACUUGUUUUACCAUGAGGAAGGAGUCGCAUUUGGCUUCGAUUAUUUUGGCCCCAAGGCUCUUAGCCAGUUCUAGAACUGCAAUCAUGGCCUCAUACUCGGCUUUAUUGUUAGUCAAUUUUGCAGUCCUAAUAGACUGCCUAAUUAUAUUUAUCAUAGGUGGUUUUAACACGAUAUUAAGCCCAGAACCUUUCGCGUUGGAGGCACCAUUCGUGAAUAAGGUCCAGAUUCCCGUAAUCUACAAAAAUUUGAGGCUAGCGUAAUGUCGGCCACAAAAUCUACAAAAAUUUGAGAUUUUAUGGAAGUUCGGGGUAGGUACUCGAUGUCGUACCUGCUAAUCUCUACGGACCAUUUGGCUAAAAGGCCCGAGAGCUCGGGCUUAUGCAUGAUAUUCCUCAGCGGGUAAGAGGCUAUGACACAUAUAGGGUGGCAUUAAAAGUACAUCUUUAGCUUCCUGGAAGCGCUUAGCAAAGCGAGUGCUAACUUUUCCAGGUGAGGAUACCUCGAUUCGGCACGUCUAGAACUCUACUAACAUAGUAAAUAGGGAAUUACGUACCUUCUUCCUCCCGGACUAAGACACCACUUACCGUCACGUUGGAAACUGCCAAGUAGUGGUACAGUUGUUCGUCUGCCUUUAGAGUGUGCAGCAGAGGGGAGCUCGACAUGCAUCAUUUGAGUUCUUCCAAAGCUUGUUGGCAUUCCGGAGUCCAGGAAAAAUUAUUCUUCUUCUUCAAUAGUGAGAAGAAUGGAUGGCUCUUGUCUGAGGACCUCGAGAUGAACCGGCCCAAUGCGGCUAUAUGCCUGGUCAGUCUUUGAAUUUCCUUGACAUUGUCCACUACGGUGAUUUCCUCUAUGGCCUUUAUUUUGUCGGGAUUGAUCUCUAUCCCCCUAAUUGGAUACCAUGAACCAGAGGAAUUUACCUACACCGACCCCAAAUGCGAACUUCUCUGAGUUUAGCUUCAUGUUGUAUUUUCUUAGUAUGUCGAAGGUUUCCUUCAAAUGUUUCAAAUGGUCCCCUGCUCGUAAGGACUUGACCCACAUAUCAUCAAUAUAAACCUCCACUAAUUUUCCUAUUUGUUCUUCGAACAUCCGGUUUACUAGGCAUUGGUAAGUUGCACCGACAUUCUUGAAUCCAAACGAAAUUAUGUUAUAGCAGUAGGUGCCAAAUUUGUUGUGAAAGAAGUCUUUUCUUGAUUGCCCAGGUCCAUCCAAAUUUGGUUGUAACUGGAGUAGGCAUCAAAAAACUGAGUAUCUCGUGCCCGGCUGUCGCGUCGAUCAUUCGAUCGCUUGUUAGGAAAAGGGAAAGAAUCCAUAGGGUACGCUUUGUUUAGUUCUUUAUAAUCCACAUACAUCCUUAAUUUAUUUUCUUUUUUAGGUACUACCAUUACAUUAGCUAGCCAAUCUGGGUAUUUAACUUCCCGGAUGGAUCCUAUUUUUAGAAGUUUGGAUAUCUCAUCCUUGAUGAAUGUGUGUUUGAUCUCAGAUUGUGGUCUCUUUUUCUGCUUAACCGGAUGGAACUUCAUGUCCAAACUUAGCUUGUGAGUGGUUACCUCCGGGGGGAUCCCUAUCCUGUCAAGAUGGGACAAAGAAAAAUAAUCAUUGUUAGCUUUAUGAAAAAUAAUAAGUUGUUUCCUAAGCUCGGGGGUUAACCCUGUGCCCAAGUAUACCUUUCGAUACGACAAAUGCUCAAUUCAUAUGAAUUGUUCCAAUUAUUCAACCACUGAUUUGGUGGUGUCAGUGUCAUCAGGAGCUAUGAAUGAUCUCGGGGCGCCAUAAUCGUCCUCCUCUUCUGCUCCUCGUUCUUCCUGAUUCUCCGGUUCGCCCGAGGCCAGUAUUAGUGAUUGCUAUUAAAUCUCUUCCUUUUUGGUUGGUUUUGUGUUCUUUGAUGUCGAAACCGUAGGUACCUGAAUUACCACGUCGACGACAAACAUCUCCUUUGCGGCCGGAUGUUCUCCAUAGACCGUUUUGACUCCUGCCCCCGGUGUGGGAAAUUUCAACGCCUGGUGCAAGGUCGAGGAUACCACCCUCAUGUUGUGGACCAAUGGGCUUCCAAAUAGAGCUUUGUACCUCAUGUCCCCCUCGAUCACGUAGAACUUCAUUUCUUGGAUUGUCCCAGUAGUGUUUACUGGCAGGGUUAUCUCUCCUUUCGUGGUCUCACAUGCCAUGUUAAAUCCGUUCAAUAUCUGGAUUGCCAGUACGAUUUGGUCUUGUAACCCCAAUUGCUCUACGACCCUUGAUCUGAUGAUGUUGAUAGAGGUACCUGGAUCAAUCAACACACGUUUAACUCGAAAUUUAUUGAUAAGUACGGAUAUUACAAGUGCAACAUUGUGAGGUUGUACGAUGCCCUCGGUAUCUUCAUCGCUGAACAAAAUGGCUCCCUCUGGAAUAUAAUCCCGGUGCGUUUUCCCUUGUGAUAGAUACUUUAGUACGUUUCAUCAUUGGCCCCUAAGGAACAACGACCCCUCCAAUGAUCAUGUUGAUCACGUGCUGAAGCUCCUCUUGUUCAACCUAUUUGUUGGCAUCCCUGUUCCUGAAGUGGUUUUACGCUCGCUCACUCAGGAAUUCUCGGAGGUGCCCAUUGUUGAAUAACCAGGCAACUUCUUCUCUCAACUAUCGGCAAUAAUCGGUCAUGUGACCAUGAGUGUCAUGAUACUUACCCAUCAAAUUAGGAUCUCUCUGGGCAGGGUCGAACUACAAUGGUCGGGGCCACUUGGUCUCUUUGAUACGCACUAUAGUUGACACGAUGUUGGCAACGUCCAAAUUGAAGUUGUACUCCGAUAAUCUCGGUGCUUCCCUACUCUCGAGCGGUCUGUCGAACCCAUUUUUUCUUAUUAUACCUCAGCUAAUGGGCCCUCAAUCACUUUUUUUCUUUCUCCUUAUAGGGGCGACACUCGGAUCCACUUCCAUUUCAAUCCGCGCUAUAUGGUUGAUACCGAUCUCGGGCUGAUCAAUGUCUCUCUUAGAUCUAUUGUUGGCCCUGAUGGGGGUAAACAAUUCCAAGAGGGUCUCUGAGUUGGUCGUCCUCGACCCUAAUCUUCGACUGGUACCUUUUGUGGACGUCGACCCAGGUUACUACCGGGUACUCCACCAAAUUUUCUUUUAACUGUUGAGAGGCCAAGGAACUUCUAGGCUUGAGCCCCUGAGUGACUGCCUGAAUGUCCUAAUCACUUGCAUUUUGUGGUAGGUCCAUCUGUUCCAUAUGGAAUCUUUCUGCGAACUCCCUAAGCAUCUCGUUAUCUCUUUGUUUGACCUUGAAGAGAUCUAACUUUAUGCCUUGAUGGCUCCGGCAUGGGCCUUUACGAAAGCAUCUACAAGCAUAGCAAACGAGUCAAUGGAAUUUAGGGGCAAGUUGUGAUUCCAUAUCAUUGCUCCCUUGGACAUGGUCUCCCCAAACUUCUUUAGUAACACCAACUCGAUCUUAUCGUCUUCCAAAUCGUUUCCCUUGAUUGCGUACGUAUAGGAGGUCACAUGCUCAUUUGGAUUUGUGGUCCCAUUAUAUUUGGGGAUGUCAAGCAUAUGAAACCUCUUUGGGAUCGGCUUUGGUGCCGCACUCGGAGGAAAAGGCAUCUAGAUAAAUUUCUUGGAAUCCGGCCCCUUCAAUAUCGGGGGUGCUGUCGAGAUCUGAUCAACCUUGGAAUUGUAUGUUUCCACCUUCUUGUCAUUAUCCUCAGUCUUUUUCUCACCUGACCCCACCCAUUUCGCUAAUGCUUUGAGCAUUUUCAUUACCUCAGGACUUACCCCGGGCUCGGCUUCACCCGGUCUCUCGGUAAUUUGUUCGUCUCUUCGGGUGCUUUCUCGGGAUCGUUCAGGCUCGACCAUGUUGGGGGCGUGGCUUUAAUUCUGCAGUUGUGCUAUUGCCGGUUCUUGAGCCUGCAACAUUUCGAAAAUCAGCCGUAGGCUUACCCCAUCACAUUUGCCUUCGGGAUCUUCUCGAGUUGUUGGUCGGGUUCCCUUCCCCCCUCCCCGAACACUAUUUUCGUGAUCAAUUGGCAAAUUGAUAUUGAUGUCCACCUACGAGUUAGCAUCGGCCGGGUCGGCAACUAGGACAAUGUUGGUAUUGAAAUUAUUAUUUUUGUCAUGAUGUCCAAACUUAGAAUUAACGUUUAAGUAAGGAGACUGAGAGUUUAACAUUUUGGAGAUAUACGUUUUGCCCAAAUCAAAUGAGGCUAUUAUAGGUAAUUAAAGACAUUUAAUGCUACGUUGUAUAAUCAUUAUAUUCAAUACAAAUUCUNNNNNNNNNNNNNNNNNNNNNNNNNNNNNNNNNNNNNNNNNNNNNNNNNNNNNNNNNNNNNNNNNNNNNNNNNNNNNUUUGCUCGUAUUUGUUGCAACUCGUGUCUCUUGGCUAGUUGUAAUUCUUUGACCAUUUGACCAGUCUACGUGUUUCGACACGUAUUCGACACGUCACCUUUAUAUUUAAAUACGAUUUUUCCCAAUACACUGUUAACAGUGAGCUAAAUCCUUUUCAGUGUGCCAUUAUCUGUUGGCCAAAAGCUAACAAAAUGAAGGAAGUUGCAUGUGAUAGCAAAACUUGUUCUAUUUUUUAUUUAAUCUUUCACAUGCACUCUCCUGUUCCAAAAUUGAAUAAUAAAUAUUUAGUCAAAAAGGGUCAGGAAUGUUUAAUCUAGAUGUUGAAAAUUUUCCUUUCCGGCAGUUGCUUAUUGGAUUUUGGAAAAUAAUAUUGAACUUUGAAGAGGAGCAACGGUAACGUUAUUUUCGCAUAAUUUGUAGGUCACGGGUUCGAGCCAUGAAAGUAGUCAUUAAUGCUUGCAUUAAGGUAUGCUAUCUAUAUCAAAUUCCUUGGGGCACGAUCCUUCCCAGAAUCAUGUGUGAACGCGAAAUACUUUAUAUACCAAGCUGCCCUUUUUUACUACUAAACUUUUCUAACGCUACUAAACUUUUCUAACGUGAAAGAUUGAGGUUUGUGUGGACUCUCUCUCUUCACUAGAGUGUAGAGAAACUGGCUGGUGCAGUGUACCAAGAAGAAGAGUUUAUUAUUUAAAUUGGUAUUUAAUGAGAACCUUUUUCAUGUAACUCGCGGUUUAGAUUAAUCAAACUUAAAAUAACAUUUUUAUUUCUAUUUUUCUUGUUUAACUAUGCAAUACCUGCGGAAUAUUUGAGCCAGAAAUUCACCAAGAGAAAAGAUGUAUUUUCUGAGGAAAAAAUAAAUAAAUAAAGAUGUAUUUUCUUAGUAAAAAAAAAUUCCAUUCUUGAGACCGGACCGCAAGAUACAAGUUAAGGAGAAAUGUAUUCUGAUCAUUCCCACUACACCGAUUAGAAUUCUUUUUAUUUAUUAUUUUCUUGUAUGAGUUUGAACUUGAGAUCUUUGAUAAAAAUAAAAGGAUAAAUUUCAUGUGUCAUUCAGCUUUAUAUGUUCAUGUCGAUAAUGUAUGACAACCUUUAAAGGUUCUCCUAAUGUUAAUUUGACCCUAACGUAACUAGGAUAAUUUUGGCCCAUACAAGCAGCACAUAAUGGUGAUUGGUGGAGUCAAUUUCUCUCGUAAGUUGGAACUACAAAUUGCAUAGAAUUUUCCUUGAUAUAACUUAGGAGUGGAAUUUUGGAAAAAUCAUGCUUCUAUAAGAGUAAAAAUGGCAUAUAGUAGUCACUAAUUAAGGGUGUCUUUAAUUUUUAUCCACUAAUUAUAAUGCUCAGCAAAAAUAGCCACUACUAAUAGAAAAAAGACAGUUUUAUCCUUUCUUCAAUGCAUAUAUUCCCAAACCCUUGUUUUUUUCAUUCAGAAGAGGGAACAUUUGAGAGCGAAUCUUUCAGGGCAAGUUUCGUGUGUUCUCAGCAUCUGUAUCAUCCUCGCAUGCUAACGAGCUGCAGUUAAUCUUUCUCCUUCUUCUUCUUCUCUGUCAUCUUCUCUGAAUCGAACGAUCGAACUGCUAUUUUUUUUUUGUUUUAUGCAUUUUGUUUUUCUAUAUGUGUAAUCGCGAUCAAUGUCGUGUCAAGUAUGUGUGAAAUUUCAAAAAUGAUCAUUAUAAGUUGAUUCAGUGUCAGAGAAGUAGCGUAUUUUUGUGAUGUUGUUAUUCAGAAAUUUUUGGUGUUGAAAUGUGAAAUGUGUUUGUGGUUGAUUCAAUAUAUUUGAUUAUGUAAGGACAUUUCAUAAAAAUUAAAAAUAGUCGUAUAAAUUCAUAAGCUUACUGUGUUUAUGAAUUUUUAGUUAACUGUGUUCAUGAAAGAUAAGGACCAAACGACAUUAACUUUUGAAGUUGGAACUCAAAGUUAAGGACUGAGUGUCCUUAACUUUUGAACUUGAAACUUGAAGUUAAGGACAAAGUGUCCUUAACUUUGGAACUUGAAAGUUGAAGUUUAGGACCAAGUGUCCUUAACUUUUCAACUUGAAACUAUAAGUUAAGGACUGUCUGUCCUUAACUUUUUAACUUGAAACUUGAAGUUAAGGACCAAGUGUCCUUAACUUUUGAACUUGAAAUAAUAAGUUAAGGACUGCCUAUUCUUACCUCUUUAACUUGUAAAUCUAUGUUAAGGACUAAGUGUCCUUUACUUUUGAACUUGGAAUUCAAAGUUAAGGACUGCCUGUCCUUAACUUUUAAACGUGAAACUUGAAGUUAAGGACCAAGUGUCCUUAUUUUUUGAACUUGAAACUAUAAGUUUAAGGACUGCCUAUUCACCUCUUUAACUUGUAACUCUAAGUUAAGGACUAAGUGUUCUUAACUUUUGAACUUGGAAUUCAAAGUUAAGGACUGUCUGUCCUUAACUUUUUAACUUGAAACUUGAAGUUAAGGACCAAGUAUCCUUAACUUUUUAACUACAAAUUUGAAGUUCAGGACCUAUUAUCCUUAACUUUUCAACUUUAAACUUUAAGUUAAGAAUUGCUUGUCCUUAACUUUUUUACUUGAAACUUGAAGUUAAGGACCAAGUCCCUCCAACCUGUAAGUCCUAAUCUUUAUUUUCUUUUUCCUUCUUUGUAGUGUGAUAAUGGAAGGAGAUCGUGUGUUCAAGUUUGAUGUUUGGCGUAAUUUUAUGGUGUAUUGGAAAAGAGAUUUACAGUAUAAGGAAACAAUCAAAAGUUUUUUGUCAAACAGGUAGUGGAAGAAGUUGAGGGAUGGUAUUUUUGGCAACUUCUUCUGAUUACAAAGUGUGAAGUUCUGUGGUAAACUUAUUCACUGUAUAUUGCUUUCAAAAAUUGUAAAUAAUGACCCUGAUUCGAUGACAUUCAAGGUUUUUGACCGUGAAAUUAAGUUUACACGUGACGCAUUUCAUAUAUUACUGGUUUGAAGUGUUAUUCCUCACCGAACAUAAAAGGUUUAUAUGAAAAAGAGAAUAGGCUUUCGAAAGUCUAUUUCCCCGGAAAGGAUAGAGUUGAGUUGGGUGAUUUGUUUAAUUUUAUUACUAGUCACCCACAGGGUACAACUGCAGCAUUUGUAGGCAGCGAUGAUGAUGCUAUGAAGUUGGAAACAAUUUAUUUUGUUGAAUCUAUUUUGAUGGGCAAGCGGAAGAAUAAGAAUGUGUCCGAGCAGAUAAUGAAAAUUGUAGACGAUGAUGAACUCUGCUCUUCUUUCAAUUGGGGUCUCUUUCUUAUGAGACAUUAUUAAAAUCAUUGAAUAGUUGUUUGAAGCCAAAUGAGAAUGAGACUGAGAAAGACAAAGAUAAAGACAAGGAUAGCUACACUAUACUUGGUUUUCCUUUUGCCUUUUGUGUUUGGAUUAUAGAAGUAAUUCUUAUUUUCCAAGAAAAACAAUUUGUGAACUUCCAAGAAUUUGGUUAUCCUCGGAUGUUAUGUUAUUCGGAAAUGAAAUCUCCACGGUUUGAUUCUCUGAAUAAAAAAUACUUCCAUAAUGAAAAUAUAAGUCAAUCUAAUUACUAUCUAUUUUUUUGUUUAUUUGCUUUUGUUAUGAAAACUUAUGUUUAUUUUUUGUUAUAUAAUAGUUGUAUAAGUUGUUCGAG
rnacentral:lncRNA from 1 species